rnacentral:rRNA from 1 species
GUUUUUAUUUUAACUUUUAUUUUUGUUAUAAUUUUAUAAAAAAUAUUUAUUUUUUUAGUAUUUUGUUUAGAAAUAAUAAGAUAAGUUAUACUUUGUACUGUGAAGGAGAAAAUUUAAUUUUUUAUAAGAAAUUUUUGUUUAGUGUACCUUUUGUAUCAGGGUUUAUUAACUUUAGUUUAUUAAUAAUGAUUUUCCCGAAUUUUAAAGGUAUAUGUAUAAAUAAUGGGAUAAAUUUUAAAUUAUUCAUUAAUUUGUAUAUAGGGAUUAUAUGUUAUUCAUUUUGAAUAUAUCUGGUUCUUUUUUAAAUAAAUUUAAUUUAAAAUUUAUUUGGUUAAUUUAAUUUAAUUAUUUUAUUUAAAUAAAUUUAAUAAUUAGGGGGAUAAGCUCUUAGUUAGUUUUAUAAUUUUAUUUUUUUUAGUGGUGAGUUUAGUUAGAAUUAAUAUUUUUCUUUUUUAUAUUUUUAUAAAAAAAACUUAUUGAGUUUUAAUUUAUUUUAAUUUAAAAUUUUAAGGAAGUAGUUUUUUUAAUUUUGUUUAAAAAUUAAUAAUGAUAAAAUUAGUAAUAUACAAAAUUUAAAUUUAAGAACUCGGCAAAUUUAAUUUUCGAAUGUUUAAUAAAAACAUUUCUUUAUUGUUUUUAAUAUAAAGUAUAACCUGCUCAAUGAUUAAUUUAAAUAGCCGCGGUAUUUACUGUGCUAAGGUAGCAUAAUAAUUUGUCUUUUUAUUGGAGUCUAGAAUGAAUGGUUGAACGAGAAAUUAGCUGUUUUAAUUAAAUUUUUGUGAAUUUUAUUUUUUAGUUAAAAAGCUAGAAUUUAUUUAUAUGACGAUAAGACCCUAUAAAAUUUUAUUUAUGAACUAAAUAUAAAUAUGUGGUUUUAUAGUUAAUAUUUAGUUCAUAAAUUUGGUUGGGGUGAUUAUUUUAUUUAUUAAACUAUAAUUUAUUAAAGUUCAUUAAUUUAUGAAUAAUUGAUCCUAAGAUUUAGAUUAUGAGAUUAAAUUACUUUAGGGAUAACAGCGUAAUUUUCUUGGGGAGUUCUUAUUUAUAGGAAAGAUUGCGACCUCGAUGUUGGAUUAAAGUUAAGUUAUGGUGUAGAAGCUAUUAUUUUAAGUCUGUUCGACUUUUAAAACUUUACAUGAUCUGAGUUAAGACCGGCGUGAGCCAGGUUGGUUUCUAUCUAUUAAUUUUAAUAAUAUUUUAGUACGAAAGGACCAAAUAUUACAAAUAAUUUUGUAG